AAGUCGUAACAAGGUUUCCGUAGGUGAACCUGCGGAAGGAUCAUUAGUAUACGUUGCAUCCACUCGGAUGCACCACUUAAACACGUCUGUGUACUGUACCUGUUGCUUCCGCGCAGCUGUGACGUAUGUCACCCCUGAUGACGGCGUAAGCCGUUUGAGGGGAGUCUACGCGGGAGGUUUGCAUUUAAAACACCGCAUUACCAUGACCUCAGUCUGAAUUUGACCUAUUAAACGUUAAAAACUUUCAACAACGGAUCUCUUGGUUCUC
rnacentral:misc_RNA from 1 species